CAACAUUUACUCAAAACUAGCACACUGCACACAGUAAGUGAAAACUCAAGCUCAAGAGGUUCUCAAGAAAUCGUUUACACAACAAGCUUUGUGUAAUGCAGUAAAUCUAACUCAACCUAACCAAAAUCACCCAUAGUCAGUCUUAACCAUUGCGAUCACAAAGCGUUACAUAAUUCAUUCACCUAAUCAAAAAUGGGGAGAUCAAAGUCAUACUCUCAUAGGAGUACGCAUUCUCCUACCAUGAUCCGAGUUGAAAAGACUCCUUUAAGAGUCUUUGGCAGGAACACUAGCUUGACGGAUUCUCUUUUGGUGAACAUCCCAAUUAUACACACGAGCAAUCGUAACCUGCCAAAUAAAAAUUCACCUCUCAAGGGCUGUUUCAAAC
rnacentral:lncRNA from 1 species